UACGAAGGGGACUAGCGUUGCUCGGAAUUACUGGGCGUAAAGGGCGCGUAGGCGGAUAGUUUAGUCAGAGGUGAAAGCCCAGGGCUCAACCUUGGAAUUGCCUUUGAUACUGGCUAUCUUGAGUUCGGGAGAGGUGAGUGGAAUGCCGAGUGUAGAGGUGAAAUUCGUAGAUAUUCGGCGGAACACCAGUGGCGAAGGCGACUCACUGGCCCGAUACUGACGCUGAGGCGCGAAAGCGUGGGGAGCAAACAGG
rnacentral:rRNA from 1 species